rnacentral:tRNA from 1 species
AGGUGUUUAGCUCAGUUGGUAGAGUACCGUGUUUACACCACGAGAGUCGGAAGUUCGAAUCUUUCAAUGCCUA